GACGAACGCUGGCGGCGUGCCUAAUACAUGCAAGUUGAGCGCUGAAGGUUGGUACUUGUACCAACUGGAUGAGCAGCGAACGGGUGAGUAACGCGUGGGGAAUCUGCCUUUGAGCGGGGGACAACAUUUGGAAACGAAUGCUAAUACCGCAUAAAAACUUUAAACACAAGUUUUAAGUUUGAAAGAUGCAAUUGCAUCACUCAAAGAUGAUCCCGCGUUGUAUUAGCUAGUUGGUGAGGUAAAGGCUCACCAAGGCGAUGAUACAUAGCCGACCUGAGAGGGUGAUCGGCAACAUUGGGACUGAGACACGGCCCAAACUCCUACGGGAGGCAGCAGUAGGGAAUCUUCGGCAAUGGACGAAAGUCUGACCGAGCAACGCCGCGUGAGGGAAGAAGGGUUUCGGAUCGUAAAACUCUGUUGGUAGAGAAGAACGUUGGUGAGAGUGGAAAGCUCAUCAAGUGACGGUAACUACCCAGAAAGGGACGGCUAACUACGUG
rnacentral:rRNA from 1 species